UAGGGAGACCCAACUCAAAGUAAAAAGUAGAAAGUUAAAAGUAAAAAGAAAGAAUAAAAAAUCUUUUGACUUCGAACUUUGAACUUUUGCCUUGAUGAAUCCCAAGGUCGGUCGCAGUAUAGUUGUCUAUGCUUUCAAACUAUAGUUUGGUUCGCAUUGGGGCUAUUAGCUCAGGUGGUUAGAGCGCACCCCUGAUAAGGGUGAGGUCCCUGGUUCGAGUCCAGGAUGGCCCACCUGAAAAAGUCAAAAAUCAAAAGUAAAAAGUAAAAAGAAAGAACUUAUUAUUUUUUUUGCCUUUUGCUUUUUAACUUUUGCCUUUAAAUCUGGGGGUUUAGCUCAGUUGGUAGAGCGCCUGCUUUGCAAGCAGGAUGUCAGCGGUUCGAGUCCGCUAACCUCCACCUGGAAAGAUAAAGAUGCAAAGGAAAAAAGUUCAGCACCUAACUGGCAUAGUUAGAAUGCUGGGUAAUUCCAGCCAGAACCUUGAAAACUGCAUAGAAACGCGAUUUUAGCAGGCAGACACAGACAUUUAACUAAUGAGUUGUGUUUGCAGUGGUGAACACCAAUAUAAAAGUCUAAUGAGGAAUUAGACAAGU
rnacentral:misc_RNA from 2 species